rnacentral:lncRNA from 1 species
GUCAUGGUUUUCUAGCUAUAAGUGUUUUACUUGCUUGGGAACGACAUUGCACAAUAUUUCAUCCUUAUAUUUACUAAUAGAAAAUGGAAUUCAUACAUGUUCGAUGACACUGAUCUCUUACUGUUAUCUAACCAAUGUAACUUGUAGGGAUUGGGGUGCGGGACACAAAUCAACCUUACUUUGUCAACCAGUAAGGUGCUACAAAAAUUAGUACAGCUGCCCCCAUUAAUAAUCACAUUACUGACCUUUCCGUUCAUCAGGCAUCUUGAAUAGAAGAUGGUUUCUCUCUAAUCAUUGUUUUCUGACUUAACUUGUAUGUUCAGGGCCCACUGAGCCAUAAACAAAUCUUCAUAUACUAGUUAGGCAAUAUACUCUUCACUGGCUCCAAAUGAUUGCAUGUCUUCUUAUUCACUCUCACAGUCACUGAUGACAUCUCCAUCUCUUAUGAUCAUAGUACAUUAAUUGAGACUUGGGAUGCAAUAUGUCCAACCCCUAGACACUUGAAACACUUAAUAAUGUUUUAUCUUGUAACAGGUGCCUUAGGUUACCUAUUAGAUUACUGACAGGUUGUUUUCCCUUUUGGACCCGAACCUUCUUAGCUUCAUCCCUUUCAACCCAUCUUUGAGUAUCUUGAGGGUUAGGACUAACAAACCCCCAAAUAGUUCCUCUAC